UUUUAAAAACGGUAUUCUAGGCUACCAACAAUUUAGAAUAUGCACGUUGUUAUGAUUUUUCUAUAACAAAGAUCUUCAUACGUUUUUUUUUUUAUGUGCACGUGUGUGAAGAGAGAUUGGUCAUAGCACCGUGGAACAGGCUCAGAAGUGAUCCUCCAUAGAACUGAAAUCCUCUGUGACAGCAACGUCUAACAGAGACGCACCUUCCCUCCUUGUUACCCGUUGCCAGAACACCUGAACGCUGUGUGAACUGGAAGAGUCUUGAUUUAUGCUCCACAACUGCAGUAGAUGACAACUGAC